CCUACGGGGGGCAGCAGUGGGGGAUAUUGCACAAUGGGGGAAACCCUGAUGCAGCGACACCGCGUGGGUGAAGAAGCGCUUCGGCGUGUAAAGCCCUAUCAGCAGGGAAGAAAAUGACGGUACCUGACUAAGAAGCCCCGGCUAACUACGUGCCAGCAGCCGCGGUAAUACGUAGGGGGCAAGCGUUAUCCGGAUUUACUGGGUGUAAAGGGAGCGUAGAAGGCGUGCCAAGUCUGAUGUGAAAGGCCGGGGCUCAAUCCCGGGACUGCAUUGGAAACUGGCAUGCUGGAGUGCCGGAGGGGCCA
rnacentral:rRNA from 1 species